rnacentral:rRNA from 1 species
UACAGAGGUCCCAAGCGUUGUUCGGAUUCACUGGGCGUAAAGGGUGCGUAGGUGGUUGCGCAAGUCUGAUGUGAAAUCUCCGGGCUCAACCCGGAAAUGGCAUUGGAAACUGCGUGGCUAGAGGGUUGGAGGGGGGACUGGAAUACUUGGUGUAGCAGUGAAAUGCGUAGAUAUCAAGUGGAACACCAGUGGCGAAGGCGAGUCCCUGGACAACAACUGACACUGAGGCACGAAAGCUAGGGGAGCAAACAGG